rnacentral:lncRNA from 1 species
AGAGAUCCUAGCCAGACACCUUAAUUAGUGAUUUCGCAGAGAUCCUAGCCAGACAUGGAUGACCAAUAGUUCUAUGGUGCCAACUCUACUGGGCCGGGUUCAUUUGUUACAAACGAAUUCCAUUUUUUAUCAAUCUGGUGAAAAAUUUGCUAAAUUCAUUGGGUUCAACUUACCCCACUGCCUAUAAAGGUUACUCCGUCCAGCAGAGACGAAUCUGAAUCUGUUGAGUACAGGGAAGAAGUUAGACCAAUAGUCUUAUGGUGUCAGCACUAUUGUACUGGUUCAUUUGUUACAAAUGAAUACCAUUAUUUACAGAUUUAGUGAAGAGAUUGCUCAAUUCAUUGUAUUCACUAACCUUACAGCGUAUAAGGCGCCUCAGUCCCCGUUAGAGCAGAGAAUAAAUAUCUUACUAAAAUCCAUAUCAAACCUUGAACUUGCAGUGGUAGUCUAAGGGCCUGUUCGGAGUCUCACCACUCCAGAACUCCACUCCAGGAGCG